CUUUUCAGAGAAGGUCUCGAAUCCUGAAGACAGACUUCGAGGGGAUGAUGCAGCAAGAAGACCCACACCAGAUGAGGGCGCCUUGAUAUUGGAUUUCCCAGCCUCCAGAACUCAAAUAAAAAUGCAGUCUGGAUUUUAAGGGCCACACAGCAGCAAGAACUAAAACCUGGGUCUCCAAGGUCCAAGUCCAGGACUUCUCUAUGACACCCUACUGCAGCCCUUUGCUGGAUACCAUACAAAGCAAAUUGAGCAGAUGUGUUCUCUGCCCUCUGAAAGUUUGGACUCAAAUGGACAGCCACAAUUCUGGCAAACAUAAAAGGACAAAGUGAUUUAGUGUCAACUCACAUACGCAAUAAAUAACUGAGUUAAAUAGAUAAGGAAAGGCAUGUUCACCUGGUCUACUGAUAUUUUUUAAAUUCCAGUUGAGUAGAGAGCAAUGUUAAUAAGACUAAGGUUUUGGGCCAGUCCCAUUUUUGCCUACUUGCUUUGCACCUGGAAAAAUAUUUGUAACUGCAUGCAAACUCUUUCCCCUCCUCGUCUUCAACAAUCUGUAAACUUUCCCUGAGCAGCUACCAAGUGUAACACAAAGUGGGAAUGAAGGACCAUUAAGAAAUCAUCUCUGUGCCAUGCGCGGUGGCUCAAGCCUAUAAUCCCAGCACUUUGGGAGGCCGAGGCGGGUGGAUCACCUGAGCUCGGGAGUUCAAGGCCAGCCUGGCCAAUAUGGUGAAACCCUGUCUCUACUAAAAAUACAAAAAAAAAAAAAAAAAAAAAAUAGCUGGAUAUGAUGGCAUGUACCUGUAGUCCCAGCUACUCAGGAGGCUGAGGCAGAAGAAUCGCUUGAACCCAGGAGGCAGAGGUUGCAGUGAGCUGAGAUUGCUCCAUUGCACUCCAGCCUGAGAAACAAAAGCAAAACUCUAUCCCCACCCCCCCCAAAAAAAAGGAAGGAAAAGAGAAGAAAAAAAGUCAUCUGUGCCCUCGAGCAACAUCUUUAACCAUUCGCCUAAUUCAAACCACUGGGAUGAAAAUGUAUAUCCUGUAUAUACCAUCUCUACUGCUGGGAAAAAAGACACGUCAACUCAAUACCCAUCCUAUUUUUAGACGGCCUGAGAUUCGUCCUUAUCCAUGCAGGGCAGUCGGGUAGGACAAUGAAGAGGUGGACUUCUGAAUUUGAGAGAAAUUGGUCUUAUCCCAGAGAAGUGAGGCCACCACCCACCUGCAAUAGCUUGGCUUCCUGGAUCCCUAAGCAAAGACAGAGUCUUGCUCUGUCACUCGGGCUGGAGUACAGUGACACAAUCACGGUUCACUGCAGCCUGGACCUCCCAGGCUCAAGUGAUCCCCCUGCUGCAGCCUCCUGAGUAGCUGGGACUACAGGCCUGUGCCACCAUGUCCAGGUAAUUUUUAAAUUUUCUUUUCUCUCUCUCUCUCUCAUAUAAUCCCCAGUAUUGGAAGUGGAGCCUGAUGGGAGGUAUUGGGGUCAUGGGAGCAGAUCCCUCAUGGCUUCGUGCUGUUCUCACCACAUAAAAGCUUCCUGAGGCCUCCCUAGAAGAGGAGCAGAUGCUGUUGCCAUGCUUCUUGUACAGCCUGCAGAACUGUGAACCAAUUAAACUCUUUUCUUUAUACGUUAUCCAGUCUCAGGUAUUUCUUUAUAGCAAUGUAAGAACAGCCUAAUGGCUGGGCACAGUGGCUUAUGCCUGCAAUCCCAGCACUUUGGGAGGCUGAGGCAAAUGGAUUGCUUGAGCCCAGAAGUUCAAGACCAGUCUGGGCAACAUGACAAGACCCCGUCUCUACAAAAAAAAAAAAAAAAAAAAAAAAAAAAAAAAAAUUAGCCAGGCCUGCUGGCAUGCACCUGUAGUCCAAGCUACUUGGGAGGCUGAGGUGGAAGGGUCCCUUGAACCUGGGAGGUGGAGGUUGCAGUGAGCCAAUAUUGUGCCAUUGCACUCCAGCCUGGAUGACAGAACGAGACUCUGUCUCAAAACCAAACCAACCCAAAAAAAAAAAAAAAAAAAAAAAGAACAGCCUACAGCUGGGCGCAGGGACUCAUGCCUGUAAUCCCAGCACUUUGGGAGGCUGAGGUGGGUGGAUCACCUGAGGUCAGGAGUUCAAGACCAGCCUGGCCAACAUGGUGAAACCCUCUCUACUACAAAUACAAAAAAUUAGCCAGGCAUGGUGGCACACACCUGUAAUCCCAGCUUACUCAGAAGGCUGAGGCCCGAGAAUUGCUUGAACCCGGAAGGCGGAGAUUGCAGUGAACCGAGAUCAUGCCACUGCACUCCAGCUUGGGUAACAGAGAGACUCUGUCUCAAAAAAUAAUAAUAAAAUAAUAAAAAAAAAAUUAAAAAAGAACAGCCUACUACAUUUUCUUGCAGGUCCGGUCCACUGCUAGGAGAUCCAUAUCUACUCUUUGGGAGUUCUCCAGAGGAAAAAAUCAACAGGCGGGAGAAAGAUACUCUGCUAGCUUCAGAUUCAUUAGUACUAGGAAAUGGAGAGAUAGGAGGUAUAAUGUAUUAGGGAAGCAAGGGAUUCAGAACCAGGUGCCCACUGACUCUGAGAAGCACUGGGUGCACAGAGGGUAGCAGACAAGCAAGAGGGUGGAAUUUGCAGCAUCUCAUCUUGGUGAGACAGUUGGAAGACUUUUCUGCCAAUUAUAGUGGUUAAACACUGACUCAACAUCAAACAACGGCAUGAGGGGUCAGAGCCUUCAUUCGUGGACAAGUUUCAAAAACAUGGGAGCACCACCUGUCAUGAGCAAUUUAGUCAGAACAGAAGAGAAUAGAUCACACCCAACAAGACAGAAAAAGCUGCUUUCUGGAGAGGGCGGGAGCUAAUAUUUCCUAACACGGUGAAAUUGUGAAGUGCUUUUUGCAGCCCUUCAUAAUUUCAUCAUCCAAAGGGUUUGCUUUUGGAAUUCUUAGACACUUAAUUCUGUCCCUGCUUUCCGUGUCACUUCCACGGGACACUGAAUUUGGGAAGAGGGAGACCUCACCAAUGAUGGGAAGAACAGAUUGGGGGCUGGCGCCCUUUUGGGUUUGCCAUGUGAACAUCCUCCUGGAACAGUCUCCAUUCUGUCCCAGCAAGACACACUCUGCUCUGUGAAGAACCCAGGUGGGAAAAAAAAAAAAAUCUAUGAGGCCACAGUGGAAAUGCAGCUCAGCAGGACUCUCAGGUACCCCAAAAUUGUCCCAUCUGACAACUCACCACAUUCUAUUUAUUUAUUUAUUUAUUUAUUUUGAGAUGGAGUCUCACUGUGUCACCCAGGCUGGAGUGUAGUGGCGUGAUCUAGGCUCACCGCAGCCUACGCCUCCCAGAUUCAAGCGAUUCUCCUGCCUCAGCCUCCCAUGUAGCUGAGACUACAGGCAUGCGCCACCACACCCAGCUAAUUUUUGUAUUUUUAGUAGAGAUGGGGUUUCGCCAUGUUGCCCAGGCUGGUCUCAAACUUCUGACCUCAGGUGAUCCACCCCCGCCCCUCAGCCUCCCAAAGUUCUGGGAUUACAGUCAUGAGACACUGCACCUGGCCAACACAUUCUGUUUUCAUCAUUAGUGCCUGUCCUCCCUGCUAGCUCAUGGGCUCCCCCAGAGCAGGCAUGUUUGCCCUAGUCACCAUCAAAACUGUCUUAGUACCUGUCACGGUGCCUGGCACAUAGCAGUUAUUCAGUAAAUGUUUGUUGAAUAAAUCAACUAUAAACAUCAAAAUGAUUCCCUUAAAAAGGUCUUCAUUCUUGUUCAGAUGUAGAGAGUUACAUUACAAACACUUGUGUGCUGGGGAUAGGAAGGGACACUGUUGGGUAAUAAUAAGUGCUUGAAACAUGUGGGAGGGCCCUGGAAAAUAGCCCAAAAAGUUCACAUUGUAUCUGAUAAGCAACAGGGAGCUACUGCAGGUUCUUCAGGUCACCAGUAGGCAAGCAGGUGGUGGCUUUCCAGGCUGAAAAGUGUAUUUGAUCUGGAAGAUAGUAGGAUCACAGACAAACAGUGAGUCUUGGAGUAGCCUGAUCACAGUGGCAAGCUCAAGAGACAAUUUUAUGGCUGAGGGCUGAAUGUUUCAGCUGGGUGGGUGUCAAGAAACCAGCAAGACUCCAGGCAUGGUGGCUCAUGCCUGUAAUCCCAACACUUAGGGAGGCCGAGACAGAGGAUCCCUUAAGCCCAGGAGUUUGAGACCAGCCUGGGCAGUAUAAGGAAGCCCUGUCUCUACAAAAAUAAAAACAUAACAAAAUUAGCCAAGUGUGGUGGCGUGUGCCUGUGCUUCUAGCUCCUUCAGAGGCUGAAGUGGGGAGGAUCACUCGAGCCUGGGAGGUUGAGGCUUCACUGAGCUGUGAUCAUGCUGCUGCACUCCAGCCUGGGCGACAGAGUGAGACCCUGUCUCAAAAAACAAACAAACAAACAAGAAACCCAGCAAGAAUUAAGAAUUCUGGUGAGCACUGUUCCCGUGUGACCUCAGAGAGCUGAUAGGCAAUUUGAUGGCAGAGGCGGGGGCCAGUGCAGUCAUGGCCAAAAAUGGCCAGGGAGGAAGAAGAUGCCCUGGGUCUCAGCCCAGAGUCUGGUGUUGGAUGGUGUGGAGAGUAGAAGUGAAGCCAAAGUAAGGUCUGUCUUUCUUCAGAGAGAGCCUCCUAAAGGCAGAGGACAUGUCUUAUCCAUCUACACCCACAGCUCCAAGCGGAGCUCCUUGCCCAGAGAAGCUGCUUAAUAAAUUGACACACGAAUGCUUGGCUGCCUCGCUGGCUCUGGGAGGCAUGGAUGAUGCCAGAGCUUGGGGAGGCCACUGAAGCAGUGUUUAUUGUCCUUUCUCCUCCAACUUCCUCAGUCUACCCUUCUGUGUUGUCCCACCUCUCCUUGAAGCCAGAAGAUGUCCCCAAAGGUUGCUACUCUCCACAUGGACAGCAGCCAGGAGACGCCUGCCCUGCCCCGCCCCUUGCUAGUUGGUGAUGCUGGCCUAGCAAGGCAGGGUCCUGCAGGAUGAAAGCUCGGAGAAGCCAAAACAGGAAUAAUAAUGAUAAUAAUCAGCUGCGGCGUCUCAACCAUCCAGGAAUGCAAGGCUCCACGCCCUGUGUGCCUCACACCCCAGGACAUCGCAAGGGCUCCUCUCCCUUUAUUUUAUUGCAGUGAUCCCACACUGCCAUUCCCAGCCCAACCCAUCUGGAUUCCCAAGAACUGCAGUCCAGCCACCGGCUCAUCCACCACCCAGUUUCCAUGGGAAUAUUCAGCUCCAAGACCUAAGCCAGCAGCAGGGUAAGACGCCCAGCUACUUGGAAACUCGUGCUCCAUGGCUUCUGGGAGAAGCAGUCUGCCCACCCCUGGCCUGGAACGCUUUCCCAUAGACCCAUCUAUGUCUGGUCAAUGUGAGGGCCAGGUACCUUGCUUGUGUCAAUCCAAAUCUGGAUUCAAGUCUGGUCUGGCCUUAAACUAACUCACCACGGGACCCUAGACAGGUUUGGUUUCAUUUUUUAACUUUUUUGGGUUCACUCGCUCUCUUGCCCAAAAGCUUUUCAAGGAUCCCCAUGGCUCAGUGAAGAUAAACUCUGGAUCUAGAGGUCUAGUACGUGGCCAUUUGAAAUCUCGUUCUAAAACACCUUUCCAAAUCCACUCGUCUCCUUCACCUUUGGGAUGCCAGCCAGAAGGAAGUACUCACCGUUGGUCAUGCACAUCCCAUGCUUUUCCAUUUGGGGAUUUUGCUCCUUCUUUGGGAAUGUCAUUCCUUCCACCUCUACCUCCACCUGGCAAGACCCUCCUAGCCUUCAAGGCCCAGGCCAGGGGCCAUCUCCUCCAUGAUUAUGCCUGACCCUCAUCCACCUUGGAACCCUGCUUCCUUUUCCUCAGACCCUUUCAAGCCCCAGUACUCACAUUGUGCUGUGGGUGUGUGCAUAUCUUAAUCAUCAGCAUCCUGAUGUCUCGUUCAUCUCUGUGUCUCCAUGGCGGCUAGUACAGCACCUUGCACACAGGGCAAGGAAUCAAUACAUAAGUUCCAGACAUACAUUGUGGAGAAUAAUCAUCCUCACUCUAUUAAAUCCUCCCACAAUUGUGCUCCAAAAAAUAAAAAUAAUUAUUUUAGGCCAGGUGUGAUGGCUCACAUCUGUAAUCCCAGCACUUUGGGAGGCCAAGGCAGGAGGAUCGCUUGAGCCCAGGAGUUUCAGACCAGCUUGGGCAACAUAGUGGGACCCUAUCUCUACAAAAAAUAAAAUUAGCCAGGCAUGGUUGCACAUGCCUGUUGUCCCAGCUACUCAGGAGGCUGAGGUGGGAGGAUUGACUGAGCUGGGGAGGCAAAGGUUGCAGUGAGCCAAGAUCAUACCACUGCACUCCAGCCUGAGUGACAGAGCAAGACCCUGUCUCCCUAGCUCCAAAAUGUUUAUUUAAUAUAACAUUUCCUGAGUGUGUAUUAUUGGCUUGAGAGAGAAAUAAAGAGUACAAAGGCCAGGAAGGCCCCUUACCCCCACCCCAGCCUCCUCUGUAGGUAGGAUGCAGGUACCCAAGUCUCCAUGAAGACAUCAGCUCUCUGGCUUUGGCUCCUAGGCUGACACUAGGAACCCUUUCCUUGACCAGUGGCUGGUCCAGUUCCAUCUCAGACUCUGUCUAGUACGAGGUGGGUUCUUCCCUU
rnacentral:lncRNA from 1 species